CACCCAGCGUGGACCACCGCGGUGCCCCUUCCCCGGCCUCCAAGCCAUCGGGCCCUCCUCCCGCCAGACCCAGAGCCGUCCAAGGACUUGGUGCCCUGGCCCCGGGGCCACUGCGGGUCCCUCCCCGGGUCCGCGCCGCCAGUGCCAAAGUGCGCGGUUCGCGGCGGAAGGAAGUGAUAUUUAUUGUUCUCCGCGAGACCGCGUCCUCCCCCGGCCCAGCUGGCAGCUGCAGUGUAGACGACCCGAGAACCCUGUCUGCAGGCGGUGUAGAGACUUGUAGAUAUUUGUAGAUACUGUAGAUAACCGUGCCGGCGCCGACUUGAUAAACGGUUUCGCCUCUUUUGGAAGCUGCCUGAGUGUCCAUUUCUUUGCGUCCAGUUACAUCGCGCGGGAUGUCUUGGGGAGAGCGAGUUCUGUUCGACUCGGGGACUCGCGGUCCCCUCAGCCACGUCCCCACAGUCCGAAGGUCGGGCUCUGCGCGGGGCGGGGGUCCCUGCAGUGCGCUCCGAGCCCCUCCUCCCAGCCCCCUCCCAGGCCACGCCUCCCAGCGACCUCUCCCGGCUAGUCCGUGCGCCCCGCCCCCACUUCCACCUUGCGUCCCCAGCCCAGCCUCCCCCUGGUUGUGCUGCCGAGUCUCCUUCAUCCCAGGUGUGCAAGGGACCUUGUUACUUAAAUUCCUCACCCGGACGUUUCCCUCUUGAGGACUUGGGCCCCCACUCCUGGCCUGUUCUCAGGACAGAUGCCUGUGUUUUUUCUACAGAAGGCAGGACAACAGUCACCAUCACACAGGACAGGACACUGUCCGCUGGGGGCAGGAGGGGAAGAGGGAAAGCCCUGACUCUGUUCGGGAAAGACAAAAACAGACAGUUCUGCUCUGGUAGCGUUUCCCAGUCUGGCCCCGGCCCAGGCCUGCGUUUUCCCCUGUUUAUUGACUUUAUUCACUGUGAGUGUCCCCAUGGAGUGACCUGGACGGAGGCACAAUGACAGUGGUCAUGAGUCAUCUUGAAACCUGCCUGUGAAGCGUUUUUCCCAGGCCAGGUGGUGAGGGACCUCUCCCCAUCAGCUCAACACCAGGGAUGGGGCCAGAGGAACCCUUUGAUCCCUCCCUUCCUGAGUCCAGGCAGGAAGUGCUGAUGGACGGCGGUCACCGUCAAGGCUGCCGGCUUGGACACGAGAUGGAUGGGAAGUGCGAGUGGCUGAGGUUCUGUCCCCCUUCUGUGCCUGUCCCAGUGUGUUCGUGACAACUGCUGCCAUGUGGCCCUGGCAGCCUGGUGCCACCUCUCUGAGGGCCCGGCCAGGCAUUUCCUGAUGUCCGCUCUGGGCUGUACUCUUUUUUUUUCCAGAUGCGUUUGCCCUGGUGGCGGGAAGUGACCAAGAGCUUAGCAGUCGGAUGGCAGGACCUGUUCCUGAGAGGCAGGUCUAGGAAGGGAGGGGGCAACCAAAGCUGCUGAGGGGUGAGCUCUGGAGCCAGGGCCCCUCAGAGCUUCACAGAGCACCUGCACCAGGGCAUGAAGACUCGCAGCAUCUGGCCAGCAGCUCCCUGGACGUAGCAUCAGGAACACACUCCUAAGGGCGGCCCUGGACACCUAGCCCUGAUGGGCACCCGUCCACCCCCAACUGCAGGGCUCCCUCUGGGCAAGCCUGCUGUGUCAAUGGGCUCCCUGCUUGGGGUCAUGAGUGCACCUGGCACCCACCUUGUCCUGGGAGGCCUGCAGGAGUGAUGGGCAGUGGUCUGCCCAGCUGAGCUGGUCUCCCCUGCAGACACUGGUUCUCGGGCCUCCCUCUUCCCUGAACCAUCCAGACCGUGGGGGCUGGGGGCUUGGGAUGGGAACCAUGGUUGCAGACAUCAAAGCUGAAGUGAGGAGAAGCUCCCCAACACUAACGAUGGUGUUUGCAGGUAAGAGGACGCACCCGUGUGCACAGCCCGCUCCCAAGAUCGCCACCCAUUUGAGAUGCAGAGCUGCACUGCUGUCCGGCACGGGGGCCACUCACACGCUAAGGAUCGGGAAUGGAAUCAAGGUGAACAGCAGGCCCCCUGCCAGGCGGCUGGUGGGCGGACACUACAGAUGCUUGCCCGGCCUGGGGAGCAGCCCCAGAGUGUGGUUUCCUCCCCACGGCCCCUGUGGAGGCCUUUGCCUGGCUGGGAGCAAGUGACAUUGGCAUGGUGAGCUGAGUGCCUGGCCAACCAUGCUGUGCUGGCCAGGUCUCUAUUGCUGACCAGCAUCCAGUCCCCGUGAAGGGCAACUGCUGGUUCUCAGUCUUGAAGCUUUUCUGAAAAUGAUGGACAUCCACUGUGGGAAAGAGGUGACCUUGAGCAAGUGGAGGCAGGUGGGGCCUAUCCGCUCCCCUUUCACACAUUUGGCCCCUCAUCGGGGCCUCGGGGACCCAAGGACUCUGGGACGUGGUGGGACAUCUCCCAUGAUCCUGGAGCCUCUGUCUGGGAUGUGAGCCGUCCAGCCCCUGGGAUGGCUCAGGGAACUGCCCGUCCCUCCCGGUGCCCUGGCACAAGCGGCUGGUGGUUCUGGAGACUUGCCCAGUGCACCCCGCAAGCCCCCUUCCUCUAUGUGCCCAGGGCCCCUAUGUAGGAGCCCUGUGACCCCACAGAACUGCUCACUGGUGUGAGGACGCGCUGGAUGGACCCCUGCACCACACUCGGGUGAGGCUGGGGACCCCAAAGGCCCUUAGGGGAUGAGGUGCCCGGUGAGCUAUGGGUACAGCAGUCUGGUGACAAAUGUCUUGGAGGGGUGGGUUACACAGCCCCCCGGGGAAGCCUCGUGGGGCCGUGAGCUGAGAUCCAGCUCCUGGGGCCUGGAGUUGAGGAGGGAGGGCCCCUGCAGCCCCCUUCUGCCCAGCAGAGGAGCCCACAGUGGGUGUGGGACACGUGUGACGCUGCUGGGGGGAGGCACUGGUCUCCAGGUGUGCUGCAGAUCAAAGCCUGUGCAGGCAGCCAGAGGGAGGCGGAGCCCGGGAGAGUGAGUCCGGUGCCUUGCAAAUGGGGAGGCCUGUCCUCUGUGAGGGUCCAGAACCCGGCUUCUCCGUGGGGACCUCUGCACAGCCCUGUCCCCCUCCAACACCUCCAACACCCGCCUUGGAGUGGCCUCUGAGUCCCGACUGGGGUCCAGCAGAGGGGGGGUUGCGGGGGCAGCCCUGGGCCCCGGGAGGGGUGGGGCUGUUUGCUGGCCUACCUCACAUGCUUUCCGUAUUUAGGAAAACACAAGUUGUGCUUUGAUUCAACUCCCUUUCCCACUUGUUGUACUUCUUUAAACCAGAUGGGUUCACGGGAUGAAACUUUGGAAUCUCGGCAUCUCUAUUUUAACUGCUGCCAGGUCUGUGUGUGGGAAACAGCAGAACCAGAGGUAUUUUGCUGAAAGCAGCCACGUCAGGGGGAAGCCUAGGUUCUAACAGCUUAGUUCCUUAAUUAGAAGAGCGGCACCAUCGACAUCCUUUCUCCGCCAGCUCUGUCACCUAGAGUCAGCAUCAGCUCUCUCCUCCACCACCGCGGCCGGUCGUGAGGCUGCCUGGGCCGGCGGCCCCCAGAGGCUGGCCCUGAUGGGAAGGCCUCUUCCUCGGUGGCACUGCACCCCAGGAGAGGCCGCAUUCUGUCUUCUCAGCCACGUGUGUGCGCCUGCAGGGCAGGGACUGCGAGGCUCUGGGGCUGGCCUCUCCUGGUGAGGACAGCUAGCCCCGCCCCCCCAGGAGACACCCCACCCACCUGAGCGCCCCCCACAGCGGCCGGCCCCUCCCUGCACACCUGUCCUGCCACCUCCCCUGGCUCCUCCCUGUCACCCUGGCCUUGAUUCUUCUCCCUUUUUUCCCACCUCUGACUCAACCUUCAUCCCAGAAUGCAUUUUCUGGAUUCUUCCCCAGGACCUCUUGUGACCUCAUCACGCAGUGAAGGUGGCGUUGGUGGCCAGGGCUGGCACUCUCGGGCUCCCCAAGGACCACGGCUGCACAUGGACCUUCUCCCGGCAGGGGGUGCAUUCCCCUGAGGGCACGUGAGGUCUCCACCGCAGGCCCCCUCCCUGCAUGCCCGAGGGCUGCCCGGCCGGCCAGCUCUGAUGAGGCCUGCGGUGGGGCUCAGGGCUGCAAGGAGCCUGGCACAAUAGUGUCCCUCAGCCAGUUGGUGUCACUGUCCAUCUGCAGUGUGGGUCAGGCGGAAGGCCGCCCCCUCUUCCCCUCCAACGUGGUGCCGGGGACUCAGAGCCCUGUGAGUGUGGCCAUGGGGAUGCAGCAAAGUAUGGAAGCAGCCCCAUCAAUGCAAAUAAUCCCUUUCCGAUGACAGUAAGUAAGGUCUCAGAGGGACUCAGGGAAACAGGCGGCUUCAUUAAGAUGUGGCUGGCUGGCCUGGAAGCUCUUGGGCCGGGCCCAUCUCUGGGGAGAGCCUGCUGGGCACAGAACUGCAGAGAGCAGAGCUCCCAGGCUGUGCCCCACCUGCGCGCACCUUGGCAGACGUGGGCAGUGGGCUGCAGGGGACACUGGGGCCCCAGACUGCCAGCUGAGCGAGGAAGUGGACACAGAUGCGCACACAUGGACUCACACACCCACCACCCUGAGGCUGGCCUGUGCCGGGGGCAGCCUCUGGACAUCUGGGGCAAAGUCCCCAUUCCCACAGGGGUGGCCGAGGAGAGGCUACUGGCCCUGCGAGGGCUGCUGCUGUGUACCCUGGGCAGCAAGACUGGCGAGUGCUCCCCAAGAGCGAGGGGCAGUGGAACUCCACAGACGGGGCGGACCCAGCACCCUGAGGAGGCCUGUGGCGGCCCUGCUCCCCCUCCUGUGGGGCUGGGUGGCUUCCGGCACAUUUCACCUCCUUGGCUCCGGUGAUCAAGCCCUUCCUCUCUCUGGGUAGCUGGCCUGGAGGGUCCAUUUAGAGGCGGGGCCCAGGACUGCAGUCAGCACCCCCUCAGGAGAGCUGGACGCCCCGUCACUGUCCACCAAGCGCUGCACAGCUGACCCCAGAGAUGCCGCAGGCCGACCACCUUCCUCCAUCACCCCCGUGUCCCCAUCCUGCCCCUCUAACGGGUGGGCUGUGGGCGGGAGCCCCGGGGAUUCAGGCAUCCUGACCCCAUUGCUGCCAGGAAGGGGGAUGCUCUCGGGUGGGCCAGGCCGCCGCGGGGCCGGGAGGCCUCCUCCCUGUGCUGGCGGGUCCGUUCACUCCUGGAAGCUGGCCUGCCCUGCACUCAGCUGCUGGGUCCCUCCAGUGGUCAGCUAUUGCCCAUGCAUGUGUCUCGUCCCAGUGAGAAAGUUCCCAGAAGACAAAGAAAUCCUGUCACGUGAACACCCAGAAAAUAACCUACAAUGAAUGAAAAACCUGAGUUAAACCACAGCAAGAGACCACUCCAUACCAGUUAAGACUGAUGGCUAUUACCAAAACGAAACCAAACAAGCAGAAAAGAAGAGAUGCUGGAGGAAGGUGGACAGAAACCCCGUGCCCUGUUGGAGGGAAUGAAAGAUGGUGGAGAUGCCGCGGAAAACAGUGUGGAGCUUUCUCAAAAAGUUAAACAUAGAAGCCCCACAGGAGCCUGCAAUCCCACUCGUAGGUGCACAGCCUGGAGAACCGGAAGCAGGAGCUGGACCUGAUAACUUGCCCACCCACAUUCACAGCAGCACACACAACUGUCAGCAGCUGAUCAGUGGAUGAAAGACGUGGUCUGUCCAUACAGUGGAAUAUUACUGCAUCAUAAAAAGGACAUUCUGACACACAACAUAGAUGGACCGUGACACUCGAGGAAAUUAGUCGGACACAAAAGGACAAGUCCUAUGUGAUUUCACUUAUGUGAGGUCCCUGGAGUUGUCAGAUUCACACAGUCGGACGGUGGGGGUGGGGCCGGGGGAGGGAGUGGGGUUAAUGGUUGGUGGAGAUAGUGUCAGCUGGGAAGGAUGAAAAGUUCUGGUGGUGGCGGCUGCACAACAGUGUGAAUGUACUUAAUGCCGCUACGCCGUGCACUUAAAGGUGGUUAAGAUGGGAUGGUUUGUAACGCAUUUAUGUCUAUUUAACAACUAAAACCCUGGGACCAUCCAGAGUCUGCAAAAACCA